AGCAGUGGUGGCUUGGCGGUUAAGACUCUGGGUUACUGAUCGGAAGGUCGAGGGUUCAAGUCCCUGCGCUGCUA